rnacentral:snRNA from 1 species
AUAGGUUAACUUUGAUCACGAAAGAGGUUCCUCCAGGGCGAAACUUGUUCAUUGUACUAGGAAUGAGUUGACCUCUGCAAUUAUCGCUAAUGUGGAUAACUCG